CCAAACAAUAAAAAGGAAGUGUCCACCCUUAUCAUUUACUACCAAUUGGCACUAAGAUAUUUAUUUUCCCUUGUCUAUAAGAUCAAAAAAACACAACCCCAUCACUCCAAAUUGAACAAAAAUGGGAGUUCUAAGCUACUGCUACCUUCCAAUUACCUCUACAGCCACACCCAUAUCUCAAGAUUCUUCAAAUAACCCAACCCCAUUGUCAAUUCCAACACAAUCCAAGCAGAAAUCUGUGAAAUUGUCUAGUGGGGUGGCUGCUAAUGGGGACUAUGCUGCUGACCCACCCACUUCCACUACUAAGCUUAGGAAGUACUGGGGUGAGGAUGUGGAUCCUCUCACCUCUGAUGAUUUUAUAUGGAAUAAGGAAUUUAUGGGUCGCAUGAAGAAGUAUAUUCAGGAUCCUCAAGAAAAUGCCCCUGCUGCUGCUGUAAAGGAAGAGAUAUCAGGAUUUCUUAGCUUAAACAGAGUCAUGAAUCUUGACAGUUUGGAAGUUGACUUGACCAAGGAGCUAACUGCCCCUUCACAACCUGUUCUAGAACCAGAAGUCGAAAAUACUCAAGCUGGUUUUACUGCAUCUCAAAAAUGGCGGCCAGCACCAACACGACGCGAGCAGGAGAAGUGGGGCAAAGCUGCCAAGGCUGCAACUGGGGGCAGUGACGUGAUGUUGAGGGAAAUAAAACGUCCUCAAGGGGAUCCAAAGGUUAUGGCUGCUCAGUCAAGGGAACAGUAUCUUAAGUUAAAGAAUAAAUUGCAGCUCCUCACAGUUGGGAUUGGUGGUGUUGGUGUGAUUUCAGCUUAUAUCUCUUAUUCUCCUGAAAUAACAGUAAGUUACACUGCAGGGUUGAUUGGUUCUUUGAUGUACAUGCGUAUGCUUGGAAACAGUGUGGAUUCUAUGCAGUCAGAUGGACCCAGAGCACUUAUUAAGGGAGCUGUUGGGCAGCCAAGGCUAUUGGUUCCUGUUGCUUUGGUCAUGAUUUUUAAUCGGUGGAAUGGGAUCCUAGUCCCGGAGUAUGGAUUCAUGCACCUCGAGUUGAUACCCAUGCUGGUCGGAUUUUUCACUUACAAGAUUGCAACUUUUGUCCAAGCAAUCGAGGAAGGUGUAUCGAUUAUGGGAAAUAAAUCACAAGCUUAGCUCUAGUUUUUAUGAUUUUCCAUCAACCUCUGAUGAAAAUAGUAGUCACAGGGAAUAAUGAAAACCAUGCCGUGGAAUAACCAGUGAAGUUGUUGUCUAGGGGGUCACGGGUUCAAGCCCUGGAAACAACCAGGAGGAGAAAAAAGUUCAGGAAGACGUUGGAUUCGAAAAAUGAGCUACAACAUCUAUACUAAAUUUAUCACCGGAUGGAUUGAACAAAUCGAUGAUUUCCUCAUGUAAAUUAUAUGUAGAUCGUGCUCUCAGCUUCGUUGAUAAUCUCAAGUUUCUUAUCCCGUUGAAGGCUUAUGAAUCGUUUUUCACCAAAAAAAAUUGUGUAAAUUCUUCUAGUUAAUUACGAUUAUCCAUUUUGUGCCACUUUCUAUUACACAAGAGCAAGUUCGAUCAA